CUUUCUCCUCUUUAUCUUCUUCUUUUUUUCAUCUUUCUUCUUUCUUCUUAACCAAAACUAAACCUAAAGUUCCUUCUGGUGUGAUCACAUUGGAAUACUUGUGGCAACAAAUCAUAGUUGCACCAUAUUUUAGGUGGCUCUAGGGUGUAGUGUCGUAAAAUCAAUUUACUUUGUAUGCAAAUCAGAAUGUAUAGUUUGCCUUUCCGCAAAAAAGAAAAGGAAAGCUUUUGCUCUUCUCACUAUUAGUUUCAUAAUAUUUUAUACAACCCCUUCAAGGAGUCUGUGGAUAACUUUCGUUUACAGUUCACUAGAUAUGUGUAUUACAUUUUCUAUUGGAAAUGCAUUUGAAUUCAUUUAUGACAAAUACUAAUUCUACGACGACAUGCCAAUUUUUUUUCUUGUAUAUAAAAUAACUCGUGCACUAAUAUUUACUUCACUGAAAGAUUUUUCACUUUGAAGGGAAAUAGUUUUUGUUCCAUCAUCUAUUAAUAAUAUAACAAUAAUAAUUCAUUAUAUGCCAAUGAGUUGAGAAAUCUGGCACUACAUUAUUUAAAUGACACAUAAAAAGCAUAAUGUACUAACUAAUAAGACUACUAGUGAGAAUUGAGAUUAUACACAAUUAUAGUAGAGAAGAUGCUAUCUAUGCUCUAAACCUAAACUAAAGUAAACCUAAACUAAACCAAACCUAAAA